GAUGAACGCUGGCGGCGUGCCUAAUACAUGCAAGUAGAACGCUGAAGGAAGGAGCUUGCUCUUUCCGGAUGAGUUGCGAACGGGUGAGUAACGCGUAGGUAACCUGCCUGGUAGCGGGGGAUAACUAUUGGAAACGAUAGCUAAUACCGCAUAACAGUAGAUGUUGCAUGAUAUCUACUUAAAAGGUGCAAUUGCACCACUACCAGAUGGACCUGCGUUGUAUUAGCUAGUUGGUGAGGUAACGGCUCACCAAGGCGACGAUACAUAGCCGACCUGAGAGGGUGAUCGGCCACACUGGGACUGAGACACGGCCCAGACUCCUACGGGAGGCAGCAGUAGGGAAUCUUCGGCAAUGGACGGAAGUCUGACCGAGCAACGCCGCGUGAGUGCAGAAGGUAUUCGGAUCGUAAAGCUCUGUUGUAAGAGAAGAACGAGUGUGAGAGUGGAAAGUUCACACUGUGACGGUAUCUUACCAGAAAGGGACGGCUAACUACGUG
rnacentral:rRNA from 1 species